rnacentral:rRNA from 1 species
GACGAACGCUGGCGGCGUGCCUAACACAUGCAAGUGGAGCGACGAACCAGGCUUCGGCCUGGGGCAGAGCCGCGAACGGGUGAGUAACACGUGGGUAACCUGCCCUGAUGAUUGGGACAACCCGAGGAAACUCGGGCUAAUACCAAAUGUGCCCUCCGACCAUAAGGUCGCUGGGGAAAGGAAGCUUCGGCCUCCGCAUCGGGAUGGGCCCGCGGCCCAUUAGCUUGUUGGUGAGGUAANGGCUCACCAAGGCAACGAUGGGUAGCUGGUCUGAGAGGACGAUCAGCCACACUGGGACUGAGACACGGCCCAGACUCCUACGGGAGGCAGCAGUGGGGAAUCUUGCGCAAUGCGCGAAAGCGUGACGCAGCAACGCCGCGUGGGGGAAG